rnacentral:rRNA from 1 species
UUGACCUCAAAUCGGGUGGGACUACCCGCUGAACUUAAGCAUAUCAAUAAGCGGAGGAAAAGAAACUAACAAGGAUUCCCCUAGUAACGGCGAGUGAAGAGGGAAAAGCUCAAAUUUUGAAUCUGGUGUCUUUGGCGCCCGAGUUGUAAUCUAGAGAAGUGUUUUCCGCGUUGGACCGUUCACAAGUUUUCUGGAAUGAGGCCUCAUAGAGGGUGAGAAUCCCGUAUCUGGAACGGACUACCAAUGCUCUGUGAUACACUCUCAACGAGUCGAGUUGUUUGGGAAUGCAGCUCAAAAUGGGUGGUAAAUUCCAUCUAAAGCUAAAUAUUGGCGAGAGACCGAUAGCGAACAAGUACCGUGAGGGAAAGAUGAAAAGCACUUUGGAAAGAGAGUGAAACAGUACGUGAAAUUGUUGAAAGGGAAGCGUUUGAAGUCAGUCAUAUCUGUCGGGAUUCAGCUUGGCUUUUGCCUUGUGUACUUUCCGUCCGAUGGGUCAGCAUCAAUUCAGACCGAGGGAAAAAGGCGUUUGGAAUGUGGCUGUCUUCGGGCAGUGUUAUAGCCUCGCGUUGUAUGUCUCGGUUGGGAUUGAGGAACGCAGCGCGCCACUUAAUUGGCCGGGGGUUAAGUCCUCUCGUAUCGCGCUUAGGAUGCUGGCAUAAUGGCUUUAAGCGACCCGUCUUGAAACACGGACCAAUCGAAUUCCCGCGGCCGCCAUGGCGGCCGGGAGCAUGCGGACGUCGGGCCCAAUACGGCCCUU